rnacentral:rRNA from 1 species
UGAUAGUAUCAGAAGAGGAAGGGACGGCUAACUCUGUGCCAGCAGCCGCGGUAAUACAGAGGUCCCAAGCGUUGUUCGGAUUCAUUGGGCGUAAAGGGUGCGUAGGUGGCGCCGUAAGUCGGGUGUGAAAUUUCGGAGCUUAACUCCGAAACUGCAUUCGAUACUGCGGUGCUUGAGGACUGGAGAGGAGACUGGAAUUCAUGGUGUAGCAGUGAAAUGCGUAGAGAUCAUGAGGAAGACCAGUGGCGAAGGCGGGUCUCUGGACAGUUCCUGACACUGAGGCACGAAGGCCAGGGGAACAAACGGGAUUAGAUACCCCGGUAGUCCUGGCAGUAAACGGUGCACGUUUGGUGUGGGAGGAUUCGACCCCUUCCGCGCCGGAGCUAACGCGUUAAACGUGCCGCCUGGGGAGUACGGUCGCAAGAUUAAAACUCAAAGAAAUUGACGGGGGCCCGCACAAGCGGUGGAGUAUGUGGCUUAAUUCGAUGCAACGCGAAGAACCUUACUAGGCCUUGACAUGCAUUUCUAAGUUGGUAAAGCCAGCGAAUGUCGAAAGACAU